rnacentral:rRNA from 1 species
UACAGAGGUCUCAAGCGUUUGUUCGGAUUCAUUGGGCGUAAAGGGUGUGUAGGUGGCGCCGUAAGUCGGGUGUGAAAUUUCGGAGCUUAACUCCGAAACUGCAUUCGAUACUGCGGUGCUUGAGGACUGGAGAGGAGACUGGAAUUCAUGGUGUAGCAGUGAAAUGCGUAGAGAUCAUGAGGAAGACCAGUGGCGAAGGCGGGUCUCUGGACAGUUCCUGACACUGGAGACACGGAAGGCCAGGGGAGCAAACGGG